rnacentral:rRNA from 1 species
AUUGAACGCUGGCGGCAGGCCUAACACAUGCAAGUCGGGCGGGCGGCGGACGGGUGAGUAAUGUAUGAGGAUCUGCCUGAUGUAGGGGGAUAACUGCGGUAACCGGUAGCUACUGCCGCUUACCAUCCUAUCAACCCAUAUGGGAGUAUCUUGUAGGUAAGGUAACGGCUUACCAAGGCGAAGCUCCCCAGCUGGUCUGAGAGGAUGAUCAGCCACACUGGGACUGAGACACGGCCCAGACUCCUACGGGAGGCAGCAGUGGGGAAUAUUGCACAAUGGGCGCAAGCCUGAUGCAGCAAUGCCGCGUGUAUGAAGAAGGUCUUCGGGUUGUAAAGUACUUUUAGUCGGGAGGCGUUACCGACAGAAGAAGCACCGGCUAACUCCGUGCCAGCAGCCGCGGUAAUUC